GUCGAACGCUGGCGGCGUGCCUAAUACAUGCAAGUAGGACGCAGUUGCGAACGGGUGCGUAACGCGUAGGUAACUACCUAUUAGAGGGGGAUAACUAUUGGAAACGAUAGCUAAUACCGCAUACUAGUAGAUGGACAUGCGUUGUAUUAGUUAGUAGGUUGGGCAAUGGCCUACCUAGGCAACGAUACAUAGACGACCGGGGGGGGUGAACGGGCAACAUGGGACUGGGACACGGGCCCGACGCCUACCGGAGGCAGCAGGAGGGAAUCAUCGGCAAUGGGGGGAACCCUGACCAAACAACGCCGCGUGAGUGAAGAAGGUUUUCGGAUCGUAAAGCUCUGUUGUUAAGGAAGCGGUACUUAACCAGAAAGGGACGGCUAACUACGUGCCAGCAGCCGCGGUAAUAC
rnacentral:rRNA from 1 species